rnacentral:rRNA from 1 species
UUCCGGUUGAUCCUGCCGGACCCGACUGCUAUUUGGGUGAGGAUAAGCCAUGCGAGUCGAAUGGGAUACCUAAAUUUCCCAUGGCGAACUGCUCAGUAACACAUGAUCAACUUAACCUAUUGAGAAAGAUAACCUCGGGAAACUGAGGAUAAUAUUUCAUAGUUGAAUUGGCUUGGAAAAGUUUUUCAACAAAAGGGAUAAGGAAAAUGGUCCUUAUCUGCUAUAGGAUAGGAUCGUGUUCGAUUAUGGUAGUUGGUGAGGUAAAGGCUCACCAAGCCGAUAAUCGAUAGGGGCCGUGAGAGCGGGAGCCCCGAGAUGGGUACUGAGACAACGACCCAGGCCUUACGAGGCGCAGCAGGUACGAAACCUCCACAAUACACGAAAGUGUGAUGGGGUUACCCAAAGUGUUCAUUAUUGAACUGUGGUAGGAGAGUAAUGUCCCCUACUAGAAAGGAGAGGGCAAGGCUGGUGCCAGCCGCCGCGGUAAAACCAGCUCUUCAAGUGGUCGGGAUAAUUAUUGGGCUUAAAGUGUCCGUAACCGGUUUAGUAAGUUCCUGGUAAAAUCGGGUAGCUUAACUAUCUGUAUGCUAGGAAUACUGCUAUACUAGAGGGCGGGAGAGGUCUGAGGUACUACAGGGGUAGGGGUGAAAUCUUAUAAUCCUUGUAGGACCACCAGUGGCGAAGGCGUCAGACUGGAACGCGCCUGACGGUGAGGGACGAAAGCCAGGGGAGCGAACCGGAUUAGAUACCCGGGUAGUCCUGGCCGUAAACGAUGCAUACUAGGUGAUGGUACGGCUAUGAGCCAUAUCAGUGCCGUAGGGAAACCGUUAAGUGUGCCGCCUGGGAAGUACGGUCGCAAGGCUAAAACUUAAAGGAAUUGGCGGGGGAGCACCACAAGGGGUGAAGCCUGCGGUUUAAUUGGAUUCAACGCCGGGAAAUCACUAGUGCGG